rnacentral:lncRNA from 1 species
GCCCCGAGCUGCCAGCUGACGGUCGCCUCCAGUGGGCUAGGGCCGGCCGCGGUCAUUAGGCUGCGGGCGCGGGCGGGGGCGGCCGGGCUGGCGGGAGCGCCGGGAGGAGGCGACCGCGCCGCAGCGUCCUGGCCUGGGCGCCCCGCCCGCCGCCGUCCCGCGCCCGCUGGGCUCCUCGCUGCCACCCACCCCCGCCCCCGCUCCCGCCCUGUCACUGGCUUCCCCCGCUCCGCUUCCCGUUUGGCUCGGCCCGCCUCCCUCCGUCUCCCUCCAUCCCCGGUGUCUGUCGAUCUUCUCGUCUGCUGUCCUCCCGGGAUCCCUCCCUGCGUCUCCAGCUCUUCCUUGCUGCGCCUCUCUUUCCCAAGAGCGUUGAGAGAAGAAAGCAGAACUCAAAUGAGCCCCGGAGCAGGAGACCUGUGGAGAAGCAAGCAGCAGGCAGAAAGGUCUAUAGAGUUCUGGAGCUCUUCUGUGCCAGCAGCAGCUUCAAAACCGGGAUCAGUCUGUCAUCUUCUGAUCCUCAUGUCCAGAGGCAGCAAGGGUCUUUCUAACUCUCAGCUUCUUCUGAUUUUUGGAAUCCAGAUUUGGUUUUUGGAUGUUCAUCAAGAGGCUGGCUCCGUGAAUUUUAAUUAAGCUGUCUCUCCCCCCCCCAUUUAUUACUAAUACACUCCUCUUAACUAUGAUUUAUUUGUUAAACAAAGCACCAUAAGCCAUCACUUAUUCAUCUUAAUUUCAACAAAAUUAAAGUAGUCGCUGUUAGAUUGCACCUAAUUGCACUUGCAAUGAAAAGAACGGAGAUGUUAAUCAAAAUAAAUUGAAGAUAAACAAUAAAAUCA